GACAUAUCUUGUGCUUGUCAUUCAUCUGAUCUUCUUGCUCCAAUCCUGGAAAGGUUAGUGGCAAGAAUACCCGAAGGAAUAUUUCUACAAUUAUCUCAAUAUGCUCAAUACACGAGGCAAUGUUGCAAAUUCAUGUUACGAUCUGAUAAGUGCUUGUUUAAGGAUGCUAAGCUUAUCCUUGGGAAACCAUCAAAUUAUGUCGGCGAAGUGGUUUCCCCUCUAACGCUGACCUAUAUCAAGCUUGUUGACACCAGAAGUGGCAAACGGUUAUACCGCAAGCGUACGGUAGUCAAUGUAGCCUUCACCGGGAGUAUUCCAGGUAUCGUGAUUUCCACGGGGAACGCGAAGUGAAUUAACUAGGCUUUAGAUCGUUAGGUGAUGAUCAAAGGGUCUAGGAUAAUGGGGUAG
rnacentral:lncRNA from 1 species